CCCCUCGUCGUUCAAUGGACAGGACAUGAGAUUGCGGAUCUCAAAACAGAGGUUCGAUUCCUCUCGGGGGGA
rnacentral:tRNA from 1 species